AUAUGUUUGUUUCACUCCUGUGCAUCCAGCCUGGAAAGUCGAGAACUGCUGUGCUGACACGUGUCCCGUUUGCUUAAACGCAGCGCUUCAUUUAACGUUUUGUUACGUGGACUGUGUUUUAUUUGGGCCUUUUGUUUGUUCAAUUUAACCAGUCCAGUAAUGAGUUCCUCUAAUUAUAAACGUAGCUUUUGAUGUCGUUUCCGUAUUAGGGCUUCUUUGUGCUUUGUCUCCGCCAUUCGUAAAUGAGACAGAACUAGAGUUUUGAGAGAGAUGUUUCAGCUUCUUACUAUCAAUCUCUACCAUUUACGAAUUCACCAUCUUAAAUUCCUUCUUAAAUCAUCAUCCACAAUUUACUUUGAAUGCGAGAUUCUUCAUACAAGGCGUUGGGAUUUCGAUUAUAAAAAAAAGACUUAUAUCCAGGAAAUGGCAAACGCAGCGAUCUCUCUUUCCGACCUGAAGACCGGACGAUGCUAUACCACCGUCCAAAUGUCGAAGGAAGACGAAGAGAUGUUGAGGACAGAUUUGCCAGCUUUCAGGGCUACAUAAGAGGAGAUCGAGAAGAAGAAGAUGGAGGUUUGGAAAAGGAUUUAAGCUCAACUUUGUUGCGUCAAAGAAGAGACCGAGAGAGUGGAACUUAAAGGCUUAGCUGACCCCAUGAGGAAAGAAGUUGAUUCUGUCAAUAAAUAAUUAAAGCCAUUGGCAACGUUGUUUGAAGCUUCUGCCUCCUGAAGAGCUUGAGCAUCUGCCUCCUGAAGAGCUUGAGCAUCUUAAUAUCUUAGAGCGUAAAGAUUCAAGCUCCCCUUUUAAGAAACUUGUGUACCUAUCCGGUGCAGAUUCAAGUUCUCCUGUUAGUGGGAACGGGAUUCAUUUUAAUUUGUUUACUGGAAACUAGAAUUUUGCUGAGAGAGAGAAUAGUUUUCAGGUGAGUGAGACAGUUUCGGUGCAUUGUGAAUUUUUCAACGAGAAUUUACGGUUUAGAAUUUUGGAUGAAUAUAAGAAGUAUGUGCGAGUUUUAAAAUUGUAGUCUCCGCGUGUACAUGCCUUUUGUGGGGGAGAUCACCUUUACCAACCUAUUGGAAUGUCUAAGGCAUCAACUCAAAAGGUUUGCUAUGUUGCAUUUGGGAUGAUGUUACACUCGCAACGCAGUAAGCAGAGGGUCAUAAGAUUAGCGAGAAUUCUCCUUUGAUAAAUUCCUAGAUAAUAUCAGAAGUUUUAUAAAAGUAAAAGCAACAAAUAUUUAUAAGCCAUAAUAGUAAAUGGUCAUCAAAAUCAGUAGAAGCAAUGAAAAUGUGACAUAAAUUAUUUUGGAAGGUGUCAUGCGAUAUGUAUAUGUAUUAUUCAUCUUUGUCAGCUAGAAAAUUACAUUGUAGUAAAAUUAAAAAACCUUCUUCGUUUGAUUUAUUAACUGAAGAACCUUAUUUGUUACACAUCACACCCUCUCUACAAUUUUUUUUGUUAAACACCCUUUCUACAUAAGUUUAAUAAAUUUACAUUACACAAAAAUCAAAAAGCAAAUUAGCAAACGAUAGUUUAUUACACUAACAACUUAAGCAUUUUAAGAAAACCUGAAAUAAAAAUUGAAUACUAAUUGAAUACAAAAAAAUAAAAAUAAUAAUAUGUUUAUAACAAACAAAAUCUUAUAAGCUCUUUUGAAAACCCAAUAUCUUAUAAGUUAAAUCACAACCGCUCAUAUACAAAGUAUAUAUAUAUAUAUUACAUUUAAUUUCCAGCAAAAAAUAUCACGAAGUCAAAAAGGACACAUGAAAAAUAACAGAAACAAAGAAAAGUUAUCAUAUCAGGAAACAUAUAACUACCCUUUUUGCCAAACGUAAAUCUAACUAAUAUAGCAACAAAAAAAUUAUAAUUAAUAAUUAAAACGACAAUCUAUUAUUAUAUAAAGGUUGUUACCCCCAAAUUAUAGUUAAUUAAAAAGUAAUUCUAUAUUUUCACAAUAAAAUCUACUCCCUCGGUGAAUGUACAUGUUUAACAAAAUUGUUUUGGUAUAGUUUCUAUAAAUCAUUUUUAGUUAAUAAUUAAAGAUAAUUAAACUAUAAAAAAUAAUUAAACUUAUCUAAAGUCGACACAUCAUAUCUGCAUUAAAACGCACAGUUUUGUUUAAACGAAAGGAAGAAUAAUUUUUAGGCUUCUGUUACUCAUAAAAAUUAAAAUCCACAGCCUCGGAGGCCCAUAGUCUUCAUCCCCUUCACGCUGUCAUCAGGAUUUCUGUUCUUCUUCCAAAUCUGAGACCGAUGUAAAUAAUUCUGCGUUUUCAUGCAACUUCAAUGGUUUUUUAAUUGUUAGGAUGACUGAGAUUGAGAUGAAGAAUCUCUUCGUUUGUCUCCACCCGCGUCGUUUAGCUUUCUCCUUUACUCAAACGAAACGGCCCAAUUACAGAUUCAGCGCCAUCAUCACCUUCUUAACUCCAUAGACGGACGUGUAGCACGAUCUUGACAUUAAUUGUGAGUUAUUCAAGGGUGGUUGUUGCAACCGGCUUUAAUCCAAAAUUCGUGGGAGGUAUUUAGUUAUCCGCUGUAAUUUGAUAUUCUAACUUCUAAUGUUUCCUAAUACCCUCACUAAUCUUCACUUUGCAGGCCGUAUGUUCCUCAAUGCCAUUUUAGGGACACAUCUAUUUUAAAUAAUUACAAAAUAGUUAAUCUUUUAACCAAAAUCAUUAUAAAUAAUAUCUUGAUAUAAUAUUUAAAUACCAACAACUAAUGACUAUGUCUUAAAUUGAGCGCCACAGAUAAGGUAAAUACAUGAACACUAAACCUCUUCUCUAAUUGUGUUCCAUUUGGUUUUCUUGAAGAAGAAGUUUUGAUUAGCUUCUGUUACCAGUGUCUCUGAUAUAAUUGUUAUAGCUUAUUACUUAAGCUCUGACAUCUCUGUAGAACUGCUAGAUUUUUUAAUUUCGAACCCAUAAGAACUAUAAGUACUACAUUCCGUUUAGCAUAAGAACUAAAAAUUGGUUUUCUAUUUUUAUACUUCCACACCAGAUGUUACAUUCUCAUUUCAAUGAAUAAAUUCUCCUCGCUCACGUGUGUUGUCCUUAUGCUUCAAAUUAAUAGUUAUAACUUUAUCUCCUUUAAAACAGCAAUGAACAAUCUUCUCAAAAACAAAAGACAUACCAAACCGUAAUGCACACUUUACUUGGAACCUAAAAUACUUCAAAUAAGUUUCCAACUGAUACUUUCACAUGCAAAUGGGGGUUGAGCUGAGUGACAGAAUAUACACGCCCACACACAUAAGAGUCCAAAUUAGAGAAACAUACAAUUAACCAACAAAUUAUGGACUACUAAUUAA